AGGAGGAGGAGGAAGCCUCAAGCAGCUUGCUUUUGCUGCUUUGCAUUUUGGGUUGUGUAUUUGCGUUUUGGCCAUUCAAGGAUCACAUACCUUCAGAAUCGCUUAAAAGGACCAAAGUGGCUUCCUUUCUUAGUUGGGGUCUUUACAAGAACUUGUUCCCCUUCCUUAUUUUCCUCCUCGGUGGUUCUCAAGCUGCUUCUCUGAAUUUGGUAGCUGAUUAUGAUUCUUUGUUUCAAUUGGUGUUAAAGAUAGCUAGCUUUACAUACCAUUUUAGGAGUCCUUUUGUAUAUAUGAUUUGGAGAUGAACUUUAACAUUUACGAGUUUAGAUAUUAAUUUUUCUGAAGCAAUUUCUUGCUUGUACUGACUGUUUGCAUUCUGGCUCGUGUAAUGACUGUUUAUACCCUGUAUCUUGCAGGAAAUGUCUAGUUGAUGGAAGCCUUCUCAGUGAGGCAGUGGUGGAUUCUGAGAAUGCUGUAGCUGCCGUAAAUGUAAGUACUUGGAGCACCAAAUGAGAAUAUUUGGCUGCUGUAUAAUUAACACAACAACUUCCUGUAUUUGGAGCACUGCAACAUCCUAGAACUCUUUCAAUGAGGAAGACCCAUUACUGUUCUUUAGGCC